GCUGCCGCCCGCCGCCCGGGCUUCUGAGCGGCUGCGGGGUGCUGGUCGCUGCCGCUGCCGCCGCCGCCGCCCGGUCCGCCAGCCCCGGGGCGCAUGGGUCGGCGAGGCGGGCCCUCCUGCGCGCGGGCCAUGGCGCGCCUGGCCGCCGUGCGCUCCCACUACUGCGCGCUGCUGCUGGCCGCGGCGCUGGCCGUCUGCGCCUUCUACUACCUCGGCUCGGGCCGCGAGACCUUCUCCAGCGCCACCAAGAGGCUGAAGGAGGCCCGCGCCGGGGCCCCCGCGGCGCCCUCGCCGCCCGCGCCGGAGGUGGUGCGGGGCUCGGCGGCGCCGGCCGCGGGCGCCAAGGCCAAGGGCCUGGAGGGCGGCGGGCCCGGGCCGGUGGACUACCACCUGCUCAUGAUGUUCACCAAGGCGGAGCACAGCGCGGCGCUGCAGGCCAAGGCCCGCGUGGCGCUGCGCUCGCUGCUGCGUCUCGCCAAAUUCGAGCCACACGAGGUGCUCAACCUGCACUUCGUGAGCGAGGAGGCCAGCCGCGAGGUGGCCAAGGCCCUGCUGCGGGAGCUGCUGCCGCCCGCCGCCGGCUUCAAGUGCAAGGUUGUCUUCCACGAUGUCAGCGUGCUGACGGACAAGCUCUUCCCGGUCGUGGAGGCCAUGCAGAAGCACUUCAGUGCUGGCUCGGGGACCUACUACAGCGACUCCAUCUUCUUCCUCUCCGUCGCCAUGCAUCAGAUCAUGCCCAAAGAGAUCCUGCGGAUAAUUCAGCUGGACCUAGACCUGAAGUACAAGACCAACAUCCGGGAAUUGUUUGAAGAGUUUGACAGUUUCCUGCCGGGCGCCGUCAUCGGCAUAGCGAGAGAGAUGCAGCCGGUGUACAGGCACACAUUCUGGCAGUUUCGCCAUGAGAACCCCGGGACCCGGGUCGGGGGCCCGCCCCCCGAGGGGCUCCCCGGCUUCAACAGCGGAGUGAUGCUGCUGGACCUGGAGGCCAUGCGCCGGUCCCCGCUCUACGGCCGCCUGCUGGAGCCGGCGCAGGUGCAGCGGCUGGCGGACAAGUACCACUUCCGCGGCCACCUCGGGGACCAGGACUUCUUCACCAUGAUCGGCAUGGAGCACCCCGAGCUCUUCCACGUGCUGGACUGCACCUGGAACCGGCAGCUGUGCACCUGGUGGAGGGACCACGGCUACAGUGAUGUCUUCGAGGCUUACUUCCGCUGCGAGGGCCACGUCAAGAUCUACCACGGGAACUGCAACACCCCCAUCCCGGACGCCUAGGAGCCUCUGCGGCUGCGGGCCGUGGGGCAGCAUCUGGGCCUUAGGGGCGUCGUCUGUCCCAGCCAGAGGCCUGGCCGCGCUGCAGGUGCUCCUGGGGGCGCGGCACCACAAAGGGCGGACACAGACCUCUGUGGGCGAGAGCAGGUGUUUAGAGACGAGAAUGGACAGAACAUGCCAUUGCCUGCCCUUGGCCCCCAAACAAUGGAAAUCCUUUCGAGAGCCGGCCUUUCUUAGACCAAACAUGAAUUUAUUUUAAAUCGCCAAGCUUCCAUUUUGCCAGAGGGAACAAGCAGCACUGCUGUCGCUCCCAGGGAACUCCGAACGAGGGAGCCGAGGUCCCGGCAGCCAGCCCGAGGUCCAGCACCCCGUGGAUGCCAGCCCGCCCGGGAGGCUGCGUGCGUGUGCCCGAGAUGCCCACACAGCGCGGCCCGGGUGGAAGGCGGCCGCCGGCUUGGGGUGCGGCGUAGGGGGCCAGCAGCGGCGCCCACGGAAGCCCAGGCUCAUUACCGCAGCUUCCCCAGCCUCCUGCUCCCAGCUGCCCCCCAGAACAUCACGAUCCUGCCUUCCCCCCAGUCGGCCUCGGGGGCCCCCGGGGACCCGGGAAUCAGAUCCACCCUCAAGGAACAGAGCUCGGCUGCCCGCGGGGACACGCAGCAGAGUCGCGUGCACGGAAGACGCCCUCCAUGAGAACCCCGCGGUUCACUCCAGGACUGACAAGCGUUCGGCUCUUUACAAAGUCAUCCCGUGACCCUCGUAUUGCAGCACAUCAGACCCCGUACCUUAGAAGGAGAGAAAAGACAGUGUACGUGUCGAUGAAGAUGGGCCGGAGCCAAACCCAAUCUCCUCGAGUCCCGUCCCCAUCCCCACGGGGCCGCGUUCCAUUUGCCCGAUGGAAACUCCCUGUGGAGCAUCUGCCGGCCGGACGGAGCAGAGCUGAAGUCUGGGCCGGGGCUUGGAGAGCGCAUGAGCUGUGCCUCGCAGCACCUGCUUCAACUAACCGACCCCGCCUCCUGAUGCGUCCAGGCCCGUCUGCACAUGCGAGGCCCAGGGAGGGGUCGGCAGGCAAGCAGAAGCCCCUGAGCAAGCAGGGUCUGUGGUGGAGAGGACCUCGCGCCCAAGACAGAGGCCUGCCCCUGCGUCCGUGUGCGCCCUCACCUGCUGGGCGAUCUUGGACAGCCAAGGCCACCUCUUAACCCACGUCGACCCUGGUGACGGGACGUGUCCGGCCCAGGAAGCGGAGGACACGCAGAUGCAAGGGGCUUCUGAGGGUCACCGCUUAAAAUACUCUUCCCACGUGGUGAAUGGCAGCCACUGGGGGCACGUCCCUUAGCCCGGUGGGGGACCCAACGCUUGCCCGCAGGCGGUCAUGUCUGUCGGCCCCCACUCUGCAGGGGCCCGGGCUCGUCCGGGAGGUCAGGGCUCCUUGGAUGCACCCUCCCCGCUCCGGGCUCAGCCUCUGCAUCUGCCAAUACCAGGGCGCAGAGGACUGGAGCUGACCCCCCAGCACACGUGUGGGCACCACCCAUCUGCACUCACAUGUGCGUGUGGCCGGGACUCGACAUCCAAGGCGCGACCUGCCGACCUCGGCUCAUCAUGCUCCAGCUUGAACUCGUGACCGUUCAAAUGGAGAUUUGCGCACGGGGUAGGUGCAUGCCCUGCCCCACGUCCCAGCAGGCACAGUGAGGGAUGCAGGGCCGCGGCCCCUCCACCUGUGGGCCCCUGACGGCGAGGACAGCGGGGCCUUGUCUAGGCUCGGCUACGCCACCGCCUCCCGAAGACCCUCCCCGGCCCUGCCACAUAGUAGAGGACGCAUGCCCCCCACGGCCUCACCCUGCAGAGGAUGGGGUCGGAGCCCCAGCUGGGGAGGCCUGCGGGACACGUGCACGGCUGGCUGGCUGCUCCCUGACGCAAUUGCUGUCCUCAUGAGAACAGGGCACUUGGACGCACGGACACACCAGACGUGCACGUGCUCCGAGGAGGGCCCUGUGGCCACACAGUGAGGAGGGACCUCGGCAAGCUGGGGGGACGCUUCGGAGGAACCCAAACCUGCAGGGGCGCCUGGCUGGCUCCCUCGUUAGGCACCUGCCUUCGGCUCUGGUCGUGACCCCGGGGGCCUGGGAUCGAGUCCCAGGGUGAGACCGUGGGGAGCCUGCUUCUCCCUCUGCCUCUGUGCCCCCUUGCACGUGUGC